rnacentral:lncRNA from 1 species
AAGAGAGGGAGAGAGGUGAGGUGGAAGAGAGGGGGAGAGGUGAGGUGGAGGAGAGAGGGAGAGAGAUGGGGUGGAAGAGAGAUGAGGUGGGAGAGAGGGGGAGAGGUGAGGUGGAGGAGAGAGGGAGAGAGAUGAGGUGGAGGAGAGAGGGAGAGAGGUGAGGUGGAGGAGAGAGGGGGAGAGGUGAGGUGGAGGAGAGAGGGAGAGAGAUGAGGUGGAGGAGAGAGGGAGAGAGGUGAGAUGGACGAGAGAAACCAACAUCCUUAACAUUCAACAUCCCGAGGCUACUGCAUUAAAAUCUUGCACAGUGUGAGUCAAAAGGUAGAAUGCAACACAAAUCACCACGGAUAACAAAUAGUCAUAAAGACGUGAAGGCCGAUGUGGAGAACUAUAAAGGUCUUACCUGAGCGGCUCGCAGG